GGAGGGGGGGCGGGGCCGCGCGCGCCGGUGCCCGGGGCGCGGACGUGCGCGCGCCCGCGGGGGCGCGGAGGGGGCGGGGCCGAGGCCCGCGGGGGGGGGGGAUGACGUCACUCCAGCUGCUCAGGACCGGCCUCGGCCGCUGCAGCUGGUGCAGCUGGUGCAGCUGCAGGGGGAGGACAAGGGGGUGGGCGUCGCUUCGGGGGGCUCCCCCCUCCUGCCCCCCCCCCCCCCGACCUGCCAUCGCCCCCCUCCGGAGGAGGAGCAGGAGGCAAGAGCCGCAGCGCUAGCUGGUGCUCCCCGGGGUCGCCCCGCCCCAGUUAUCGUUAUUAGGGCCCCGCUGCAGCAGCGAGGAGUCGAGCAGCUUCAGGCCGGGCACGGGGUGGGUGUCUGUGUGUGUGUGUGUGUGUGCGCGUGCCCGCGCGCCCCCGCCUCCCCCUCCCCCCAAUUUCCCUCCCCGCCCCUUCCCCUCCCUUUCCUCUCCCCGGCCGGUCCUUCCUCCUCCUGCUCCUGCCGCUCCCGCUGCUCCCGGCUCCGUCCUCGCAUCCGAGGCUGGGGAUGCGCCCCCCUCCCCAAUCGGGAUGCACCUUUUCGGGCCCGGCUGGAAGACCCCCCUCUCCCCCCGCGACCCCCGCCCCAUAGGGGGACGCAGUGCUGACCCUUGAGCUGUGGCCUCCAGGAAUCCCCUCACUGCGCUUCCGACCAUGGACGCUAAAGAGAAGAAAGAGCGCCGGCCCGGCUAUUUUGCUCGGUUGAAGAAGAAAAGGCAGACGAGGCAGACGGCAGAGACGACGUCGGCCGGUCCCCGGGGGCCCUCGGCCGGCAGGACUCCGCCCGCCAAGGGCGACAACCGCGGCGGCCCGAUGGCCGAGGAGGCCGACCUCACCGACGAGGACGGGAAGAAGAGGAAGAACAGCCAGCUGAAAGACAGCCGCCGGACGGAGCUCAAGAGAUACUAUAACACCGGAUCUAGGACUGAGCUGAGCACAAAGACUCACCACCCUCAACGAAUAUUAGUGAACAUAGCGAUUCAUGAAUUCAUUCAAUCGUAUUUAGUGAGUGCUUACUGUGGGCAGAGCACUGUAAGCACUUGGGAGAGUAUAAUAUAACAAUAAACAGACACAAAAUUAUCAGUGGCAUCACCUUCGAAUCCAAACUAGAGUUAAUUCUAGAGAUGAGGCAUGGGCACAUGAAAGGCCCUCCAUGGGGAUUUCCUGGCUCCCUAGACGAAUUGUCGAGCGUUUCCUCCCGGGUAUGGUAGAAAGGGUGUUCCUGGUGAUAAUAAGUGCCACAAAGUCAGAGACUCAAGGUUUUUUUUUACACGUCUGCUCUGCGCUGCCAAGCUUCUAGUAUGGUGCUGGACACAGUUUGUGUCAGUAAAUACUACUACAUGAAUGAAGAAUGGCAUUCAGUUUCUGUGGCCCAAACCAGCCAGAAUCAAAGCUUUCCCGGAAGUACACAUGAGUUUUGGUGGUGUUUUUUUAAAUGGUAUUUUUAAUGGUAUUUUUUUUUAAGGUAUUUAAGGGUAUUUGUUAAGCACUUACUUUGUGCCAGGCACUGUUCUAAGCAGUGGGGUAGUUACAAGAUAAUCAGGUUGGACACAAUUCCUGUUCCACAUGGGGCUAACAAGUGAAGUGACGCUGUCCCAGCCAUUUGGUGAGCUAGAAGGAUGGACUCACUGCUUUCAAAAAACCCCGAAGAAGAUGUUUAAAUCCAUCAGUGGGAUUCAGAGAUUCAAAGGAAAGUGGCAUGGCCUGGUGGAUAGAUCAUGGGCCUGGGAGUCAAAAGGACCUUUUUCUAUUUUUGGGGGUCUGUUAAGUGCUUAAUAUUUGUGCUAGAGUAGAUGCAAGCUAAUCAGUUUGGAAACAGUCCUUGUCCCCCAUAGGGCUCACCAUCUUAAUCCCCUUUUGAGGUAACUGAGACACAGAGAAGUUAAGAGACUAGCCCAAGGUUCCACAGCAGACAAGAAGUGGAGCCGGGAUUAGAAUGCAGGUCCUUCUGACACCCGGGUGUGUGCCCUGUCCACAGCUCCACACUGUGUCACAUGCUGGGUUCUAAUCCCGGUUUACUGUGUGCAGAACACUGUACUGAGCGCUUGGGAGAGGACAAUAUAACAAUAAACGGACACAUUCCCUGCCCGCAGUGAAUUUACAGUGCUCUCCGCAGCCCCUCCAUUUCUGCUUGUGGUAACUUCAUGCUGGAUGGCAGUACCACAUCACUUAAAUCUGGUGAAUCUUUUUCCUGGGCCCAGGUUUGUACUUUUCGAGCACCCUUUCCUGUUUCUGUAGCAGAGGCGGCUGCCAGCGGUACAGUGUUUGCAUAAUUUAUUACAUUGAUUAAUGGACGUUUUAUGCCAGGCCUCUUAAGCCUUGAAAGGAUGUGACGGUCAGUGUUCUAGAACGAGAAGAGUUCUGUUCUCUUGUUAAUCUUCUUCUUAUGCUUGAGGACACCGUAAAAUCCCCAGUAUUUGUCAUCAUUGAGAAGGAGACGGUGAGCUCACUGUAGGCGGGGAACGUGUUUGCUGACUCUGUUAUAGGUUACUCUCCCAAUAAUAGUAAUAAUAAUGGUAUUUGUUAUGUGCUUGAUAUGUGUCAAGUGCCGUUCUAAGUGCUGGGAUAGAUACAAGCUAUUCAGGUUGGACACAGUCCCUGUCCCACAUGGGGCUCACAGUCUUAAUCCCCAAUUUACAGACGAGGUAACCGAGGCCCAGAGAAGUGAAGUGACUUGCCCAAGGUAACGCAGCAGACAAGUGGUGGACCCAGGAUAAGAAUCCAGGUUUUUCUGAUACCCAGGCCAGUACUCUAUGCACUGGGGCAUGCUGCUUCCCAAGCGCUUAGUACAGUGCCCUGCACGCAGUAAGCUCUCAAAUACACUGAUUGACUGAUUGGGGCUGGGACUGUGGGGAGGAGGGGCUGGAGAAGGUAUAGAUUAGGAUACUUCCCUCGUGUGUGAGGGUAACCCAAGGGCUUCCUUCCAGUGCCAUAGCCUGCUUCCACCUCUUUCUCGCAGCAUGUCUCCGGGCACUGGGAGGACUCCUUUCCAGUGCUGCAGCCUGCCUCCACUUCUCUCUCCCAACGUCCCUCUGGGCUCCGUGAGGGCUUCAUUUUAGUACGUUCCUUGCCCCAGCUCCCUCUUCCCAUGGGGCUACCUCCAGUGGCUGUGAUUUAGGAGAUUUAUGACACGACGGGAUGAACGAAUGACAUUUCUGCCCGAUCAAUUCUUCAGGCUCCAAGAAUCCUGCUGCCUCCAUUAAGCCGUGACUUCCCUAAUGCGCCGGAGAUGUCCGGUCGGUCAGGGUGGGAUUUCCCCAAGUGGAGGAUGUACCGGCCCUCUCUGGACCAGGAAUCUGAGACCCGGAGGUGAUGCGGCAUCGGAUCCUGGGCUACUGGAGCGUUUCCAUCCCGCAGGGACAGUAGGCUGGGGAUCGGCCGGUUCCUUGGGGUAUCGAGGCCCCUCCGCCCUGCCACGCGUCCUCCCCUGCCGCUAGUCGUAGCAGCCGUAGAAGUGGUAUUUAUUAAAGUGUUCACUGGGUGCAGAGCACUGUACUAGGAGCUGCGAAAGAUCAUACAGGUGGGAAUUAAGCACGGGUCCUGUCCCUCGAAGGCCCUAUGGUCUAUGAAUAUAGGUCGAGGGAGGACUGGAAACAGACACCGGAAGCUGUGAAACACUGAGACUUUAAAACAGCAUAAGGGACAAGCAUAGCACCCAAAAGAAAAAUCAAAGAUAGUAGGGAGCUGUGGCUAGAGGAGCGGAAUUUCAGGUUCCUCAGGAUUCAGGGUCCAAAGCAACGGCUACCGCGGCCACUAGCGUUUCUGAGGUUCGGGGAGUCCUCUUGCUGCCGCAGGUGCUGUCUUUCUCAUUCCCGCCGGGCCGCUGGAAAGUCAGACG
rnacentral:lncRNA from 1 species